CGACUGCAGAGCUUGCCCUCCAGGUGAUCUCGCAGUACCGGUGUUCACAAGCCCUGUAAGGCACUCGGGGUAUCCUGAAGGCUACAGAUUCUGCGAGGGCAGAGACUUUAAGGAACAGCCAUAGUCCUUCUCCAGCUCAAAAUCUAGACCAUGGGCACAAGGUUGUCCCGGAACCAUCGAUCUCUAGAACGUACAGAAGGGGACCUGCCAGUCCAGCCCUCAUAUUUUACAGAGGGAAAAGGUGAAGCCCCAUGUAAAACAGGGAUUUCUCUCGGUGACACUUCCAGGCUGAGCAGGGCCAGGGAUCUGGACACCUACCCAGAAACACUCCCACCCCAUCAGUGCCUCUCUGAAUUAUGUGAUCAACUGCCUGGGGUAUGAACUAGGCACAUGCAAAUAGAGAACAGAGGUCUUGUUGAAAAUAUUAUGCUGAAUUUUAAAAACUCACUCCCCAAAUUGAAGGAACAAGACCACAGC
rnacentral:antisense_RNA from 1 species